AACGGCCAUACCAUGCUGAAAGAACCGGUUCUCGUCUGAUCACCGCAGUUAAGCAGCAUCGGGCGCGGUCAGUACUUGGGAGGGGUACCAC
rnacentral:rRNA from 13 species